rnacentral:sRNA from 1 species
CCGCGACAGUGUUGGAGUCCCCCGCCAGACACUUCCCGCAUUUUUAAAUAAACACCCUCGGAGAAUGAAGAAGAAGCAGCAGCAGCAGCAGCAGUGAAAAUAUGCACAAGAUAAGCCUCGAUUGAACUCUCUACCUCUCGCCAGAAAAGCGGGCUAAUCCCAAUCCCAUUUCUGAUGCGGAUAUCAAGAGGAUAUCAAGAAUAACCUACCCGAGGAGUCCCAGCCAGGACCUGCUGGACAUCCUGGACAGCGCAGUAUUGAGAACGCAAUGUGGUUAUUUUAUGGCCGACGGGCUUCGGAACUGAGGAUCACUUCGAUUUCUUGCGGGCCGUUCUCAACGAGCAAGUCGUUGAAGCAUGCCGAGAGAUCCAGCCACAGCAGUUGACUCUCCAUCGAUUCUCCGUUAUGUCUCCAUUUUCCUGGCAAAACGGAAGCGCAAAUACAGGCAGGCCCUGGGGAACAUCGCACAUGUUGUUUUAGAAUCGCGAAGAUGAAGAUGAGGCGACACUCUAAUCGCAACCUGGGUAUUGGUUCCCGGUCAUCAAUAAAUAUCACACCCGCGCCACUUGCACUGCAACCACCAGCAAGGGCAAAAACGCCUAACGGAACGAAAGAAUGCCUCCAUGAAUGCCCUGAUAUUUGCAAAAUACCCCAGAAUACUGGGGCUUCACGAUGGACUAAUACAACAAACCAAUCAUCCACUCUGCUAUCCUGACUGCCCUCCCAAGGGGAAGAAGACAUGGACGGCGGAGAGUGGUGACUAUAAAUUGCCCUGCAUUGCGAUUUCCCGCCUUCUCGAAGGGCAAAGGGAAAGGGAGAUUGAUGACUAUGUGAUACCAUACCUAUUUUAUUCUCUGUCUCACCCAGUCAAGCUUGCUACCAGGCACCUUGAUGUACCUAUUCUCUAACCUAAACAUCCCUCUCUCGGCUGCGCUCAUCACUAUGCACGUUCUGUCUGAAUGCGCCUCAGAAACCCCAGCAAGUCCGCUGGUUCCGUCUCCAUUGCCGGAGAUGAUACGUUUAGACACUCAUUUAUUCUUUCCGCAUUUUCAAGCUCGUCGACCAUCAUCUGUGUACUAUAGCCUUCUCUAUGUUGAAUAAACCGCUCUCCUCCUCCCUCCCCCUCCGGUCUGAUAUCUUGAAGAAUCUGAUAAAAGAAUUUUUGAAAAAGAAUAGGUUCUCACAUAUGACAAUGGUGUGGCUGAAUAUGUCUUUUUCAUGUAUGAAUUAGACAACAUUUGAUCGUUACACUGCACCUAAUCCAUUCCAGCGAGGGUGUCGCGAUUUUCUAUCAGAGCCAUCAAUAUAUAUAUAUAUAUAUAUAUAUAUAUAUAUAUAUCUAUAUCAUAUAUCACUCCAUAAUAAAGUGAGAAGAGCGCAUUAGCUACCAUGGGAGGUUAAGUUCCAGCCACCCACCAACCACAGUGUCCAGCCCUUCCCGGAAAGUCGCUAGAUAUAUUUGCACAGUCCAUGGCAUCUCUCUCACAGCCGCGCCUCCUGGGAAGAUGGCAUCGGAACAAUAGCGGGGCGCUUCAUGUGAAGCUAGUAAUACUAGCGAUGAUGAGGCCGCUGGAUCUCAUGCGCGUACUCAGUUGCCCCUGUCAGGACGCACAAAAAAAAGAAAACAAGAAAAAAUAAAAAAUAAAAAUAAAAAAUCCGAACUCCAACUGGGACUGACUGGAACCGGGCCUUGCACAAGAACAACUAUCUAUCAAAUUUAAAACUGGCCAAGCCAACCUACGGUUCCAGAUACAUAUCAGCGUCCAAGGCACCCGCACACCACCCAGCUCACAUCGCGAUCGAAAAGAGAAAAAAUAGAAAAAUAAAAACAAAACCCCCCGCAGAAACAGAAAAGGGAGCGCAAGCCCCGCCGCCCCCAUCUCCCUCCCGACUACACCGCGCGACCCCUUCCGCGAUUGCAAAUACACCCCCUUGCAAAAAACACCUCCCUCGCACCGGAUUGUCAGCAGGCAACAAGAGCAACUUCCAUAUACCAAAGCACACAACAACACAACACGACUUUUCCCUCCAGAAGCCGUUUCGCAGCAUCACAAUCAUUUGUGCCCUGUGUCAUCAGGCCCCUCCUCCUCCUCCUCCUCCUCCUCCUCCUCCUCCUAGGACCCGCGGCGAGGGAUCCUUCCCAGCAACUAGAUAGAACCUCAACCUCAACCUCAACCUCAAACGCUGCAGGACUGGGCUUUUGCGCGCCCAGCGACUCGCGACUCGCGACUCGCGACUCGGUGUUCGAAUAACCGCAGGCCCCCAGCCACCAUCCUGGCCUGGAAUACCGCUGUCCUAGCUCGCUCCGUCGCGUGCCGUCAACGGGGAAAAAAAGGGUUUUUUUUUAUAUAUAUAUAUAUAUAUUUUAUAUUUAUAUCAUCGUCGUCUUAUUAUCUAUGGAGUCUGUCAGCUACAUACAUAGUUGCCCAAUUUUCAAGAAUCAAGAUGAUUUUGAAUCAUCGAUCGAUCCGGCAAAUGACCCCCGGCUGACGGAAAUAAAAAGAGAAUAAAAAAAUAAUAGUGAAUACAGAAAACGAAAAAAAAAAAAAGAAAAGAAAAGAAAAGAAAAAGAAAAAGAAAAAGAAAAAGAAAAAGAAAAAGAAAAGAAAAGAAAAAGAAAACGCUCAGCGGGCUCUCUAAUUACAAACAAAACAUAAACAUGUCAAGGGAGGAAAACAAUGAUGAUGAUGAUGAUGAUGAUGAUGAUGAUGAUGAUAACAGGAAAAACACAGAACGAACGCCCACCCAAUAUUCGAAAGAGUGGGAUGAUGAAGGAAAGCAAAGACAAAUAAAUCCCUCGCAUAUCUAUCCAAAAACAUCACAUUCAUACCCAUCGCUUUAUCGCAAAAAAAAAGGUAAAUAAAUAAAUAUAUAACAAUAAAAUAAACAGAAAAAAUAUGGGGAAAUAUUAGAAGAAAGAAAGAAACAUCCAAAAAAAAAAAAAAUAAAUAAUAAAAAAAAAAAAUAAAAAAAAAAUAUCAGUUAUUAUAGUUAUACAAACGACGCAUUUCCGCCGCCCACCAUCUGGCCACAGCAUCGGCUUCGCGCACCCAGCUGGCCGCUUCCUCGCCGUACAUGUGCUUAACGACGUUGACAAUGUCACCCAGCGUCCAUUUCUCAAGCGGAUGGAGCUCGUUCGGAUCCUUGACCAUGUGGGUGAAGCGGAACGUGUGGCUGCCGCCCAGCGGGAUGACAAGCCGAUAAGGAACGGCAGCGGACGUAAUGGCCAGCAUUGAGCCGCCGGAGUUGAUGAUGCCGAAAUUCCACGCCUGGCGGCCGUUGAGCGAGGGCCUGUACGGGCGUAGCAGCGACUGGGCUUCGUAAUCGUGAAUGAGAUCUGAGGCUGCGGUGGUGUCGAUGGCAUCCAGGGAGUUGGUCGAGAUGAGGAGGUCGAGAAUGGUCGGGAGGAUGGACAUUGAAGUGGCGUUUGCGGCGACUUGGAUGCGCGGGAGCUGAGGAUGGCGGAAGACGAGGGGCACGCGGAAAUUGCUGAUGUGGGCGUUUUCAUACGUGCCGGUCAUCUCGGCGUCCUCUUCGAAUGCCUGGCCGCUGCAAGGAUACAUACACAUCAGCACAUGGUGAAAGGAGGGGGGGGGAGGUGGGGGGUUCAGAGUGUGAACUUUCAACUAGAAAAUAACAGGAAAGAAGGCUUACUGGUCUCCAACAAUGACCACGAGGGUCUCGUUUGCGAUUCCAUGUUCAUCCAGUAGCGCAAGAAGCUCUCCGAGCCAAAUAUCGUCGUAACGAACAACGUUCAAAAAGGCGUUCAUGUGCUCAUGCGAACCCUCCGAGCCCAUGUAUUGCGUUUCGGUGAAGUUUGGAGGGAUUGCCCAGGGGUGAUGAGUCGUGCUGGUGAAAUGCGAGAGGAACAGUCGUUUAUUGUUCGCAAUCGUCUCCGAUAUCACGUCACGGAUGAAGGGUUUGACCUCGCUUUCGGCAUAUCUGCAUCUAUUUGUCAGAUAUUGUUUAUUUUUUUUUUUUUUUCGCUACGGUAUAGUGAUUUCUUUUCUUUUCUUUACACGUACCCAAAGUAGUUAAGUUCAGGCGUCUUCGGUGGAUAGUACUUGGAAGCAAUAUUUUCCAAGGUCUCCUUCGUAAAGGACUUUCCAAAGCUCAUGUGCCUGUUGAGCACAUCCUGCCGGUCAUACUGAUCGGUGAUCGAUUGGACAAAGACGGAUUCCCAUUCUCGACGAUGCACACUUGCACGAUGGUCGAGCAACGCUUCGUUCACGCCUUGCUUCUGGAACGUUUUCUUUUCCCUGUUGAAAAGCUCCAUGAUCUGUGGGAUGCAAGGCUGAUAGAUCUUCCCGUUGACCUCUUCGAGAAAAUCCACUGGAAGCGGUCCGACACCGCAGUGGCUGCCUACUACGCUCUUGAAAGAAAGGCUGCUCCCAGUGAGGGCCCCCACGACGUUUAUCCCACCCAUGCCGGGAGCAGACUGAUCUUUCCACACUCCCGGUAAGAGGUCGGGCUGCUUGUCUGGAGAGCUGGAAAAUGACUCUCCGGUGACUUGUUCCGCGACACGAGUCAGCUGUGAUAGCUUGGAGUCGAUUUUGUUCUGGUUGAGUUGGUUGGGUUUGUAAGAGCGAAGGAUCUCCUUGUAGAGGUGGGAGCUUUUCUUUAUGGGAAACAUAUCCUUGCGCGUGCUCUCCAUUGUAACAAGGACAACAUGUGAUAUCAGGAUGUCCUUGAGCGCGUGUCUGAGCGCUUCAUAGGGUUCUAAAUUGAGAUUCGAAAUCCUCAGCGGAUCUGCAACAGGGUUGUAGUAGUGUGUUCUACUCUGAUCCAAGCACAUGUUCUUUCCAUCUUGGGCGGGCAUUGUGUCGUUUUCAUGUUUUUCUAUGGCCAUUACCGCUUGCUUGUCCCAGCGUUCAAACCCAUCAGGGAGGGCAUAUGGAAUCCAGCUCCGUGUCCUCGCAGAGUACUGUCGAAUAAAGGCAUUGACCUUUCCCGGGGCCCACCCCUUGAAGUUAUCCUUUGGCAGAAUCCAACGAUCCGGAUCGAUCAGAUUAGGUCGCGGAAACGAUUUAUUAGUAAGGGAAUAGCUUCCCGCACAGUGUUUCGUCCUAGAAUGCAUCGCGCUGCCCAAUGCGACCGGCAAGGUUGCCGAAAUAUGAUUGUAGGGAAUGGCCGGUCGAAGGAAGAGCAAAAACGCCAAGGCGCAGAGGGUAGUCAAGCCACAGAGGGGCCAGAGCCGAACGACUCUCUGGGCUGAGAAUUCCGUUUUGACUCGAGCGAGGGGGAGCAUCAUGUCCCAAUUGGCCGGUGAAGCGAACUUCGAUAUCGAUACCAGCCAGCAGCCGGUUUUGUUAUAGAAGACGGGCGUAAUCGCCAACGAGGCGAAGACCAAGGCCAGGCCCGCAACGCAGACGGGCAUGAUUCCACUCAUCAUCAACCUCAUGGCAGCAGGAUCGCUGGCCACACUUCCGGCUGCAUCCCAUUGCAACUCCCCGCCAGUGACAUAAUAAAACCCAAACUGUGACGCUGCGGCACCGAGAGAGAUGGUCCUAACGAACGAAAAGGACAACCGGUUAGCUCAUUAUCCCAAGAUCUCCUGGCAACGAGGAGGGGGGAAAUAAGAGGGGAUGCUCCAUACGCAAGAAAACCACCUAUGCAGAGGCCAAGGAUCGACGUGAUAUUGCGACUCUGGCUAUGCAGCAGCAGGCGCUGGGCUACGAUGAGGAAACAAUCGUGGAGAAAGAAGGUCGGGAAGUAGACGACGAAAUGCAGCCGCGGAAUGGAGUGGGCAUGCAGGAACAGAUGGAGCAGUUUUGAAGCGAGGAGAGCAACGGUGAGCACGGAGAAGAAGAAGGGCUGGAAAACACGAAACGAAGGGACGCCCAUGGCCGCGACGAGGACGAGGAGAGGUCUGCGGGUGGCUGCACGCCCAUCCCGUGGAGCGGAAACGGAGGAGCGCAACCACUAACACUAUAUCCAAAAGUAAAAAAGGGAGAGGAAGAUGAGGAAUGAAACGAACAGAAGCGACAGGUGUAGAGAGAGAGAGAACGGAAGCGAAAAGAGAGAACGAAAAAUAAAUAAUAAUAGCAACUGGCGGAGGAGAAAAAGGGAGAAAAAGAGAGAGAGAGAGAGAGAGAGAGAGAGAGAGAGAGAAUGAGAAUGAGAGAGACUACGAGUCGACCUUCAUCCUUUUGAGGAAAGAUGUGCGCCAGUGUCUGUGCUGGUGAAUCGCCGACUCAUGUCUGCGGGACAGUGCUAGACAGUGCUAGACAGGGCUAGUCCGCCGGGCUGGAGUAGUCGGGUGGAUUCUGUUUCUUUUCUUCUUCCUCUGAUGUCUUUUUUUUUUUUUUUUGUUUGUUUGUUGUGUCUCUCUCAAAGAACGAAGGAGACUGACUCUUGUUUGGUUUUGUUUCUGGGACCUGCGUCGGGAAAAAAAAAAAAAAAAAAAAAAAAAUAUGGUUUGGGAUGCAACAGCAGGCGUAUCGUUGGAGUACCAAACAAAACCCAAAGUACCAGAAACUACAUUUUUUUUGCGUUUGCCUUGCCGUUACAGCGUUCCAGGUUACAUAGAUUCCUCAAUGGGUAAGAUAAUCUUACGCUCUCACACAUCGUUGCGUGGCCCGAUGGCCGGCAGUCCAGAGCCAGACGCCAUUGCAAAACCCUGUUUUCGACGCAGGUAGCCUCCCAAUGCUAUUUCCGCCAUGGUUCCGACCGUCGACGCUGUAUUGCAGGUGUCGUAGUAUCGAAGUAUCAAAGUAUCGA